GAAUGAAACCUAGUGAUUUUUGUUUUAGUGGCGGACGGGUGCGUAACGCGUGGGUAACCUGCCGUAUACAGGGGGAUAACACUUCCAAAUAGGUGCUAAUACCGCAUAAGCGCACAGCUUCGCAUGGAGCAGUGUGAAAAGCGUAAACGGUAUACGAUGGACCCGCGUCUGAUUAGCUAGUUGGCGGGGUAGAGGCCCACCAAGGCGACGAUCAGUAGCCGGCCUGAGAGGGUGACCGGCCACAUUGGGACUGAGACACGGCCCAAACUCCUACGGGAGGCAGCAGUGGGGAAUAUUGCACAAUGGGGGGAACCCUGAUGCAGCGACGCCGCGUGAGUGAAGAAGUAUUUCGGUAUGUAAAGCUCUAUCAGCAGGGAAGAAAAUGACGGUACCUGACUAAGAAGCCCCGGCUAACUACGUGCCAGCAGCCGCGGUAAUACGUAGGGGGCAAGCGUUAUCCGGAUUUACUGGGUGUAAAGGGAGCGUAGACGGUUAUGCAAGUCUGAAGUGAAAGCCCAAGGCUCAACCAUGGGACUGCUUUGGAAACUGUAAAACUGGAGUGCAGGAGAGGUAAGCGGAAUUCCUAGUGUAGCGGUGAAAUGCGUAGAUAUUAGGAGGAACACCAGUGGCGAAGGCGGCUUACUGGACUGUAACUGACGUUG
rnacentral:rRNA from 1 species